rnacentral:rRNA from 1 species
AACGAACGCUGGCGGCAUGCCUAACACAUGCAAGUCGAACGAUGCCUUCGGGCAUAGUGGCGCACGGGUGCGUAACGCGUGGGAAUCUGCCUUUCGGUUCGGAAUAACUCAGGGAAACUUGAGCUAAUACCGGAUAACGUCGCACGACCAAAGAUUUAUCACCGAAAGAUGAGCCCGCGUAGGAUUAGCUAGUUGGUGAGGUAAAGGCUCACCAAGGCGACGAUCCUUAGCUGGUCUGAGAGGAUGAUCAGCCACACUGGGACUGAGACACGGCCCAGACUCCUACGGGAGGCAGCAGUGGGGAAUACUGGACAAUGGGCGAAAGCCUGAUCCAGCAAUGCCGCGUGAGUGAUGAAGGCCUUAGGGUUGUAAAGCUCUUUUACCCGGGAAGAUAAUGACGGUACCGGGAGAAUAAGCCCCGGCUAACUCCGUG